AGCCCAGUGGGGCUCAUCCUCAUUUUACCCAGCCCCUAUUCAAGAUGGAGUUACUCUGGUUCAAAUGCCACUGACAUCAUCCCACUGUGAAGCAGAUCUGCAGCUCUGAGUCUGCUCCACAGAUCUCCUGUCCUUCUCCUGGAAUCACAGGGCUGCUGGGGCACAUUCUCUUGGCAAAGGAGAAGAGAGCAAGUGGAACCAUGGGAAGCCUCUUGAGGCUUAGCUCAGAACUGUCACACUGUUGCUUUUGCCAUGUGCCAUUGGGCAAAGUUAGUCACAUGGCCAAGCCCAAAGCUAAGGGGCAAGUAUGUAUGCUCCACUACAAAGAGAUCCUGGCAAGUGUGUGGACUUAUGGAGGGAUGAUGAAGUGAGACUCACAAUUCUGUGCCGGAAGAUAGCACUGCGUGGAAGUGGGGCCACAGGCCUGGAGGUGCCCAGAGGGAAGGUGGCAAGUGGAGACCGUGAGGUGGCAAGAGCAGGAGGCCGGAAGUAUUGUUGGCUCGGUAUCAGACAGAUGUCAUUGUGGCAGUCGGAGGAGACACACAAAGAACUAGAGAGAAAGUGAUCUCAGGAUGAGACUUGAAGGAUGAUUUAGAACAACCAGCAUUAUUGAUCUCCUACUCCAGACCAGGCACCACACUAAGUCCUUGACAUGCAUAACCUCAUUUCAUCUUUAAAACCUGAUGACUGCAAUUCCAAAACUGUGCACUGAGGCACCCUGAGGCACUAUAGAAAACUCACAGAGGCACUGAAACGUAUCUAAAAUUUUGAGGGAAAAGCAAUGACAUCUGUCAGAUACUAUGCCAACAACUAUUAUUAUGUCGCUUGAAGCUAACUACCUAAUAAACAACUGCUACACCUUC